UACGUAGGUGGCAAGCGUUGUCCGGAAUUAUUGGGCGUAAAGCGCGCGCAGGCGGUCUCUUAAGUCUGAUGUGAGAUCCCGUGGCUUAACCACGGGCGGUCAUUGGAAACUGGGGGACUUGAGUGCAGAAGAGAAGAGCGGAAUUCCACGUGUAGCGGUGAAAUGCGUAGAGAUGUGGAGGAACACCAGUGGCGAAGGCGGCUCUUUGGUCUGUAACUGACGCUGAGGCGCGAAAGCGUGGGGAGCGAACAGG
rnacentral:rRNA from 1 species